UACAGAGGUCUCAAGCGUUGUUCGGAUUCAUUGGGCGUAAAGGGUGCGUAGGUGGCGGGGUUAGUCAGGUGUGAAAUCUCGGAGCUCAACUCCGAAACUGCACUUGAUACUGCCUUGCUAGAGUACUGGAGAGGAGAUUGGAAUUUACGGUGUAGCAGUGAAAUGCGUAGAUAUCGUAAGGAAGACCAGUGGCGAAGGCGAGUCCCUGGACGAUACCUGACACUGAGGCACGAAAAGCCCGGGGGGGAGCAAACAGG
rnacentral:rRNA from 1 species